rnacentral:rRNA from 1 species
GACGUAGGGCGCGAGCGUUGUCCGGAUUGAUUGGGCGUAAAGAGCUCGUAGGCGGUUCGUUGCGUCGGCUGUGAAAACCCGCAGCUCAACUGUGGGCCUGCAGCUGAUACGGGCGGGCUGGAGUUCGGUAGGGGAGACUGGAAUUCCUGGUGUAGCGGUGAAAUGCGCAGAUAUCAGGAGGAACACCGGUGGCGAAGGCGGGUCUCUGGGCCGAUACUGACGCUGAGGAGCGAAAGCGUGGGGAGCGAACAGG